UGUUUCAGCGAAACAUGAAAGUUAUUUGUUUUUUCCAAGAUUUUUGCAAGAUACCGUAUUGACCCUGACCUACUUCUAGGGUCAAGUAAGUGUAUACGUUGCAGAGCACAUUUUUCCACGGAUGUGGUCUGACAUAUCAUUUCAGAUGCUUAUUUAGAGGCCAGAAUUCCAGGUUUAGGAAAAUGGCAACGGUAUUUCAGAGUCGCUAGCAAUUUCCGCAAAACAAGUUGAAUAAAAUAGCUCAACUGGCAUAUCGUUGAGUUCAUAUACAACCAAGCGGAAACCUAGUCCUGUCUUCAUUUUUUGAGCGUACCAA
rnacentral:lncRNA from 1 species